GACGAACGCUGGCGGCGUGCUUAACACAUGCAAGUCGAACGGCAAGGCCCUGCUUUUGUGGGGUGCUCGAGUGGCGAACGGGUGAGUAACACGUGAGUAACCUGCCCUUGACUUUGGGAUAACUUCAGGAAACUGGGGCUACUAUCGGAUAGGAGCUCCUGCUGCAUGGUGGGGGUUGGAAAGUUUCGGCGGUUGGGGAUGGACUCGCGGCUUAUCAGCUUGUUGGUGGGGUAGUGGCUUACCAAGGCUUUGACGGGUAGCCGGCCUGAGAGGGUGACCGGCCACAUUGGGACUGAGAGACGGCCCAGACUGCUACGGGGGGCAGCAGGGGGGAAUAUGGCACAGUGGGCGGAAGCCUGAUGCAGCGACGCCGCGUGCGGGAAGACGGCCUGCGGGUUGUAAACCGCUUUCGCCUGUGACGAAGCGUGAGUGACGGUAAUGGGUAAAGAAGCACCGGCUAACUACGUG
rnacentral:rRNA from 1 species